rnacentral:rRNA from 1 species
CCUACGGGAGGCAGCAGUGAGGAAUAUUGGUCAAUGGACGAGAGUCUGAACCAGCCAAGUAGCGUGAAGGAUGACUGCCCUAUGGGUUGUAAACUUCUUUUAUAUGGGAAUAAAAUGUUCCACGUGUGGGCUUUUGUAUGUACCAUAUGAAUAAGCAUCGGCUAACUCCGUGCCAGCAGCCGCGGUAAUACGGAGGAUGCGAGCGUUAUCCGGAUUUAUUGGGUUUAAAGGGUGCGCAGGCGGCCUGUUAAGUCAGCGGUAAAAGCCCGGGGCUCAACCCCGGCGAGCCGUUGAAACUGGCGGGCUGGAGUUGGAGAGAAGUACGCGGAAUGCGCGGUGUAGCGGUGAAAUGCUUAGAUAUCGCGCAGAACCCCGAUUGCGAAGGCAGCGUACCGGCUCCACACUGACGCUGAGGCACGAAAGCGUGGGUAUCGAACAGGAUUAGAUACCCGAGUAGUC